GACCUGUUUGUGCUUUCAGAGGGAAACAGGGUGGUUGACACCAGGCUUUAACUUAGUCUGGUCCCAGACCUGUGUAUGCUGUCAUGACAACUUCUUGUUGCCAUUGUCCUGCGGCAGGUGGCUUCAUUCCUAGACGACAUGCAGUCCUCAACCAGUCAAUGCAGACAGAAUCAUCGCACUAUCUGAUGUAAGACAAUGCCUUGUCGGAGACGGCACGACCUUAUCUGGAACCAGGCUAAGGUCAAUGACAACAGGACCAGAUCUGGAACCAGGUCAAUGACAACAGGACCAGAUCUGGGACCAGGUUUAUGAUAACAGGACCAGAUCUGGAACCAGGUUUAUGAUAACAGGACCAGAUCUGGGACCAGGUUUAUGAUAACAGGACCAGAUCUGGAACCAGGUUAAGGUCAAGAGGGUGGAAGAUACAAGGCUGUUUGUUUCUUCAGCGGAGAAUAAAACUUGUAAAAAAUACAACUGGAGUCUUGAGUUUUCUCUCUUUCUUUAUCUUUGUCCAUUUAUUUCUCUCUCUUUUCUCGU
rnacentral:lncRNA from 1 species